AUCCGGGUUGCGGACAGUGUCUGGUGGGUAGUUUGACUGGGGCGGUCUCCUCCUAAAGAGUAACGGAGGAGCACGAAGGUUGGCUAAUCCUGGUCGGACAUCAGGAGGUUAGUGCAAUGGCAUAAGCCAGCUUGACUGCGAGCGUGACGGCGCGAGCAGGUGCGAAAGCAGGUCAUAGUGAUCCGGUGGUUCUGAAUGGAAGGGCCAUCGCUCAACGGAUAAAAGGUACUCCGGGGAUAACAGGCUGAUACCGCCCAAGAGUUCAUAUCGACGGCGGUGUUUGGCACCUCGAUGUCGGCUCAUCACAUCCUGGGGCUGAAGUAGGUCCCAAGGGUAUGGCUGUUCGCCAUUUAAAGUGGUACGCGAGCUGGGUUUAGAACGUCGUGAGACAGUUCGGUCCCUAUCUGCCGUGGGCGCUGGAGAACUGAGGGGGGCUGCUCCUAGUACGAGAGGACCGGAGUGGACGCAUCACUGGUGUUCGGGUUGUCAUGCC
rnacentral:rRNA from 1 species